CUAAUCCAUUCCUUUAUCUACUGCUUCAACAGGCGCGCGCAGGAAGCGGCUGCAAAUGGAUGUCCUGAAUGUGAGCAUCGUCUGGGCCGCAUGCCGCGAUCAUCAUCAAGCGCCGGACCAUCAACACGGACAUCAACAAGGCGGUCAACAGGUCAAAUCUCCGGGACAUCAACAAUGUCGCCAUGUCAACGGGACUAUCAAAUGUCGGAAGACAACAGGCCAUUAACAACAUCUUCCAUCGGCACAAAUUUCAUUUGGUCUCCACAUGACAGGGAUGCACUUAUUGACCUCUUUUCCUCUUUUAAGAAUCGAAAAGGUAGGCUGCCAAACACGAGCGAGAGAAGGAAGAUCAUUACUCAUGCUGUUUUUCAAGAUCAAAAAUGUUAUGAAGAUGGGAGAGUUUUAAACAAAGUGAAGUCCUUAAAAAGACAAUGCAAAGAACUGCACAAGAAGAGAAGACGUCUUACUCCCUCUGAAUCUCGUCUCUAUGAACGUCUGAACCAAAUCUGGCCAGCCUAAAGUUUAUUGGACGAAUUGGAGCAACUUCUUAAAGGAAUUGGCUAUGAUGAUAGCCGGCCCAUCAAUUGCAUUGAUGAAGGAGGGCUAAUCAACAUAGCAGGUUUAUUUUGGGUGCUUGGCUUCUUUGGAAACACCGAAACGCUUGUGUGUUUGAAGGAGACCGCCCAAAUUUGGACAGGUUACUGCAGGCGUUCAAGGAUGAACACCACUUGUGGUGUCUGGCAGGGGCUCGAAGCCUCAGCUCCUUGAGUGCUGGUCAAGUGUUCGGACUAGGCUAGUUCCUAGUCCUUGUUAGUGGUCUCGGGUCAAGCUUUUGUUUUUUUCUUAGGCAACAACAUCAUAGUGUAUCACAGCCCCUCACAGCUCGGCUCAGAGUGAGGUGUGCUAGUUUGUAAGGGGCCGGUUUAUUCUCUCUAUUAAUACAAAGAUACGCAGCUCUCCUGCGUAUUCGAGAAAA